GUUAGUUUGGCAGAAAAGUGCAUUAGAUUUAGAAUUUAAAAAUAUAGGAUUUCUAUAACUAACA
rnacentral:tRNA from 1 species